GUCCACGCCGUAAACGGUGGGCGCUAGGUGUGGGUUCCUUCCACGGAAUCCGUGCCGUAGCUAACGCAUUAAGCGCCCCGCCUGGGGAGUACGGCCGCAAGGCUAAAACUCAAAGGAAUUGACGGGGGCCCGCACAAGCGGCGGAGCAUGUGGAUUAAUUCGAUGCAACGCGAAGAACCUUACCUGGGUUUGACAUAUACCGGAAAGCCGUAGAGAUGCGGCCCCCCUUGUGGUCGGUAUACAGGUGGUGCAUGGCUGUCGU
rnacentral:rRNA from 1 species